rnacentral:snRNA from 1 species
AGCUUUGCACAGUGGCAGUAUCGUAGCCAAUGAGGUUUAUUGGAGGUGCGAUUAUUGCUAAUUGAAAGAAAAUAAU